rnacentral:ncRNA from 1 species
CCUGGACCUGGAAGCGAUUCCGGGUGGCUCUUUCGGCCGCCGAUCCGCCGGACAACC